GAUGGGUGGAACUAGCCGUGUCAAGAAUGGAAACCCAUUUUCCUCUGCAGCAAUCCUGCCUGCCUCCCAAAGCUCAGAAAUGUGCUGUGCUCAGCGUUCCUGUGUGGAUGCAGCUUCCAUGGUAGAAAGGCAGGGGCGGCGGUAGCAGCCGCAGCAAAGGCUCUAGGGGGUGGGAAUCAGAUUGCACCAUUUCAACCUCCUCUGGCAGCAGAAGCACCGAGUCACAAGGAGGAUGAGGAGGUAGUCCAGAGGCUGCUGGGCUGUGUCACUCUGAAGGUGAACAAAUAUCUGCUGAACGCCAUCCCUGUGCCAGACACAGAGUGAGGUACUAGGACAUUCUUUAUCUCAGGGCUCGUCGCAGCUCCCUACAGCACCGCUCCCCAUACCUGACACGUCAGCAGGCUGAGACUGCACAGCUUUAUCUUCUCACGGUGGAAAUUGCGCUCGGAUGGAUGUUGUCUACCGUUGACACUGAAACGCUGGCUGGGGUCAGAGCUCUGCUUCUCUGAACAGGGAGCCACAAAUGUCACCCACACAUGGCGUUCCCACUCGGGCCUGUGGAGCCUGUUACAAAACCAUCGCUCUGCUUCCCUCCCCCGCUGCCGCAAGAUGAGAGCGCGAGGAUCCUGCAUUGCAGGAAAGGCGCUGGAGCGACCGCAUUGAAACCGUCCUCCAGCUAAACGAAACCAGGCCCGCAAGCAACGCCAAGCAGAGGCAAUAGCCCUCCGUCCCUCUCUUGUCUGACCUUCAGUGGAGAGCAACGAAGACGCCUGUCACUAGCCCCAUCCUUCCACGUAGCAGGGAUUCAGAAACUACCUGGAAUUCGUAAUAAAUAGAACACAGUGGUGAAUCUAAAACCCUGCCCAAAAUGGUGGCGGUCUUGAGCCAAGGCGCCACCAAUACAGUUUUUCCAUCAGAAAAGUAUUUUAGUGGAAGGGAACGUUAUCGCAAUGAUUUAAGUUUUCCUCUAGAGAGAUGGCUUUUUUCCAACCAGCUACAGCCUUUACAUUAAAAAUCUAGUGCAUGGAUGUUUCACACACACACACACACCCAUACAGAUUUCCGCUUCUUGAAAUUUACAAAAACUGCUUAUUUUCUAAGCUCGAAAGCGGUCCAGCCGUGCAUUGUUGGAAAAAAAGCCAGCGCUGAGAGGUUUUGAGCUCACUAUUCUUCGUUUAGGGCAGACACUCAAUAAUGGAGUAGAGCCGAGGUGGCCUGGAAGCUAAAAGGGCAGCGCCCGGGGCCGCCACCCGUUGGGCCCAUACCGGCUGGCAGGCGCCUCUGCGGCCUCCGGAACCUUUCGGCCGUGCGCUCGGGCAGCGAGGUUUCAGGAGAGCUGCUCUGAGCUGCCUGGGCCUGUUCUCGCAUCACUUUCUGUCCUGUAUCCAGAGCUGCCUAAGAAACCCUUGGAAUUUUUUUUUUAACAUACAAAAACAGAAAGAAGGAAGGAAAGAGACAGAGAAAGAGACUGACCCGAGUGGGGAAAGCAGAUGGCCCUGUAUGUGCCUAAAUAUCCCUUUGGAGAGACCGCGAAGAUCUCUCCUCCGGCGUGCGGGGUGGGGAGGGGGGUGUUACUGGAGGGUCAGGCAGGGGUGUGCCGGUCUCUGGCUUUUGCUCUUUGGAGCGGAUUUUGAGUCCUUUACUUAAAGCGCUCAGAAAAAGACACCCAAACACCCGUACAAGCACCACAAUAAAAGGCACUUCCCCGAGGUGUGUCCACAAGUCUGCGGGACUGGUGGCCCAACCAGGAGAUGCACUUCAGAGCCUCUCUAAUCUCCGACGUCCAUCUGGCCCAGGCGGGCGCGCGCGGGCCGGAGGGCGCGAGGAGGGGCGGGGCGCGCGCGUUGCCAGGGGCGCGGGCGCGCGCGCCCGCUCUCCUUCACGUUCACCUUGACUGCUGGGGUGGGGUGAGCCUUUAUCUCCCUACACACCUUUCUCCCCACCCCCAGCCGCUGUCCCGCCCAGACGCCAGCCCCGGGCGGGGUGGGAGGGGGAGGCGGGAGGCUGCUCCCGCGCUCGCUAGGGUCGCCGCAGCGUCCCGGCAGCCACGCGCUCUCCGCAGUGAUGUCAACAGCAUCCGCUGCAGUGCCCCCCAAACCCACCCGCCCCCGCCUCGUCUGCGCCGCGGCCUGUGAGAACCCCAGCCCUGGGGCGAAGGGCAGGCGGCUGCGAGACCCUCCCCCCUUCUCCGUGUGCCGUAGUGCGAAGCCCGCAUCGUAGACCAACCGCGGCGCGGCGACCACUGGGGCGCAGGCGGAAAGGGACAGAGAGGAGGGGGCCAGGGAGACAGGUGUAGAUUUGACACCCUGAGCGCCAGGAGGGCCCUGCCCAGGCCUGGAGCCUCCAGGGUGGCAUGAGGAGGCCGGAUGGCGAGCAAUGAGCACUGCAGAUGCGGCGGGUGGGGCGCGCGAGGGGAAGGCGCCCCCUGCUCCCGGGAUGGAAACGGAUAAACGGAAGCGCAUGCGGGGGGAGGGGGUGCGAAUCGCCACCUCCGGCCUUGGCUUUCCCGCUCUUCCGAGCGCUCCCAUUUCUCACUUUCCCCAAAUCCGCAUUUUCCUUGGCACAGUUCUCCCAAGCACCAAGGAGAGAGAGGGAGGUGCCCGGGGGCAGCGAGAAUGACGUGCGCUGGUGCAGAGGGGGUGGGGGCUGCGGGCCGGUCUCUGAGCUCGGGCUCCUAAUCCUCUUGUUUCGGAACCGUCAGCAGAUGCGGCUCCUCUCAGCUGAAUAAUCCAUUAAAGGAAUAAUAAUUUUUUUUUAAAAAAGGGGAUCGAUCUCACCAACGAGGACUAGGAACCAGAUCGGGGCUUGUAGAUUCACCGCCUUUGGUUGGGCUGGCUCAGAUGCUGCUACGAACCACAGUCUCUUAAAAAGGAGGAAAAAAAAACAGAUGAAGACCUUGGGUGGAUGCCGGAACAAAGCAGCGUGGGCUCUCGGGCGAGAAGCGACGCGCUGGAGCCGUAGCUCCAGACUCCGACAGGAGUGAUCUCCGCCGCACAGCAACGCCCGCGGUGCGCGCGGAUCUCUCAGGGUAUUCGGGAUGAAUUUUCUUGAUCUUUUUGACAUAGCUUUAAGUGCCAGGGUUAGAACUAGGGUUGGGGUUGUUGGUUUUUUUCUGGAGGAUCAGUCAAUGGAGGACAAUUCGGAAGGAUCUAACUCGGCUUUCCUGGCCCCCCCCCCCCCGCUUUGCCUUCUUCAGAGGUGGGUACUGGGAAAGGGGAGCGGGGACCAGAAAGCUUUGAAAAGCUAAACAGCAGCCGGACGUUGCUGCUGCUGCUCUACAGGGCUCAGGGCUGGUUGGGCGAGGUAGAGAUGAGUAGGACGGGCCAGCAGAAGGGUGGCGGUCCAGGGGGGGCCGAGGCUUGCCAGGGAUGGGAAUCUGGGUGUCCACGGAGAGGACCUGCCCAUGAGAAACUGCCGUGUCCCUCUCCGCGCAAAAAGAGGCGGCGGCUGGGUUUGUGUGUAAACAGUGGAGAGGUAGAGGAGGAAAAGGGUGGUGGGGGCUUCCAAUAACGUCUUAUUGUCCCUUUGAUUCUGAGGACUCUCCUCCGCUCCCUUUUUUUAAACUCUGGGAUCCGGCCACAUUUUAUACCGGUGACCUUUGAAAUCUACGCCCACCUUUAGCCCGGUAAAGCCCAUUGGCAGCAAGGGUGGGGUGGAGAGAAUGUAGGGGUGUCUGUCUCCCUCCUCCUCCCUCCCUUCCCUUCCCCCCUCUUUUCCUCUCCCUCCCUCUCUGUCUCCCUCGGCCCCCCCAUCUCUCUCUUCCUCCCUCCCACCUCCCUCGCUCCCUCCCUCCCUGCUACAUUUUGCAUGAGCUAUCUAGGUCAUUAGCAUUUUAGCGUAUGCAAGACUUGACAAAGCUGAUGAGGGGCCAGAUGGGCCUCGCUCUUAUGGCUUUUUUUUUUCUCCCUCUUUUCCUUUUUCUCCUACCACUUGGGACCUGAACGAGAGGACUGCAUCAGCAAGGAGGCCGCUCCCCAGAUCCUGGCCCCGGACCCAGGCAGCUCGCCCCUGCGGCAGAACUCGGCCCGGGCUGCGUCUGGACUCAGCCACUCAGGAAAAGGCCUGGAUGCGGGAGAACAAAGAGCCUUUGGAAGACGUCGCGGUUAUCUCAUUGUCUGCGCGACUAGGGGAGCUGCGGUAGGGAGGGUGCUGCGGUCCUUUCCUGCCGGCGCUCCCCGCCCCCACCCCUCCCGCUGUCAGCGCGCACGCACUCGCCCGCUUUUUAUUCCUCUUUCCUCUUUCCCUCACUCCUGACUUCUCCCCGCCCCCUCCCUUUCUUUCAUCUUCCCUUACUUCCUCCUUCCCUUCCUUCCUCAGGAUAAAGGCCUCUCUCUCCGUGUUCACAGCGGACCUUGAUUUAAAUGUCCAUACAAUUAAGGCACGCGGUGAAUGCCAAGAAUGGGGCUGGCUGAGCACCAUGGGCCGAGCGCCCACCGAGGAAGGAAGGAGCCGCUGAGCCUGGCCGGGCUUGCCCACCUGGUGGCCCUGCACCAGACCUGGACCUGAGCCGUGGGGCGGGGAGGUGUGUGGCUCAACACCGAAAAGGGUUUGGAGAGCGCAGGGACCUAGGGAGGGAAGCAGAUCUGGUCACAGACAGACCUGUGCUGGUGCAGAUGGGGGUGGGAGGAGUUCCGCGAGCCUUGGCCAAGGACUGCUGUGCUGUUUCUCUCUGGGCUCCUGUGCCUAGAACAUGGAUGGGCACCUUUUUCUGUGGCCAUGUUUUUGUUCUGGAUUUAGCCUUUAGUUUGCCUUUUAAAAUAACAAUAAUAAUAAUAAUAAUUUGACAUUCAGGAGACUGGCAGACUGCCCCAGGAUUGGGCUGCAGUAGAUUGUCUUCUGCUUGAGGUUUCGGAUGGGGAUUAUUUGCAAGGCAAGGGAGCUGCUUGUCACCCUUUGCUGUAGGCUGUGGGUACCUGAGGACCCUAAGGACCUCACUGGGCUCUGCAGACAAGAAGAAAUAAGCUCCUGGAGGUUUCACAAGCUGCAUCAGGGCUGAAAGCCCAGCAGUCCAGGGGCUCCAAAGAGCCCUCCCACCCAUCUUGCUGUUCCUCCAGUUCCAGGCACAUAUCCAGGAGCUACAGUGCAAGGGAGAGGUGCAAUAACCCACGCCUACCAAAAGGAGGGCUGCAGUCCUCCUAGAAUCUGAACAGAAGGAAAAACAGCGUGUGUACAAGUGGGGGUCUGAGGAAAGACUUGUUUUGAAAGAGGCUGUCAGGGCACAGAGGGGUUAAUCUCCCCUCAUCUUGAAGACCCUCAUUACCAAUUCCAGCCUUGCUCCCAUUGCAGUCCCCAGGCUGCAGCUGGUUCUGCAGACCCCAUCACAGUCCCAUCCCACCCCCAGAUCAGCCAGCUGCGGCGGAUGGUGCAGGAUCCGAACUCAUUAAUUUCCAGGUGGAGAGAAUGGAGGAGGGGUUGGUCCCCACAGCAGAGGGAAGGGCAGGGAAAGGAGGCCAAGACCCAGGAAGCCUGCCGUAGCCCUUCCCCCCUGGUGUGGCCACAGGCUGUCUGCAAGGCCAGGGCCACAGCGGAUGCCUAGGAGUUUAAUUUGAUUCCUGAUAACGGUAAUUGAGGCCUACCCAAGUGUCCAUAAAAGCUUAUUGAAGGUCUUCUCCCCAAAGCCUCAGUCUAGCCCAGGAAAUAAACUAGUAUUCCACGACACCCGAGGGUCAGAACCCCUGCUGGCUGUUGUCAUCACAGGUAUUCAUUUGAGUGCCGAUGUGCCUGUCUUUGUGCAAUUAUUACAUCUUAGGUUCUCUUGGCCCUCCUAACGGAGUGCUUGGAGUCAGAGAGGCGGAGACUAAGUGUGCCACACCCUACCUAAGUACCUCCUGAACCUUCUCUGGGCCUCAGAAACACACCCCAUCCUCCUCCUUGCCCCUGCAGAGGGAAGGCUGCAGUGUACAUCAUGCGACUGCGGCAGCUACACUGCCCCCAGUCCCAGAAGGCAAUCUUGGCAGCAGGACAGGGAGAGAGCACUGCUCUCACUCGAGCCUCAGCACAGAUGAUCCCAAGUGACAGUACCCACUGGCUCUACAGUGCACAUCCCUGGACACCAGUGGCCCCCUCAUGCUAGGUGCCUUCUGCCCUUUCUGGCUGGGGAAAGCAGCCAGUGUGCUUUUCCUUCCUGGGGGUGCCUCCUCUGACUGACCCCUACCAUGCUCAUAGAGAAGGCUGAUCUAAGCCUUUGAUGCCCUCGCCCCACAAAAGUCUGUAUUAGCAAGUCCCUGCUCUAGCUUCCCUAAAAUUCCUUCAGAUGUUGCUGUACCCUCACGGAUGGGCCCUGGAGGUACAGUCUCCCCAUGAGUUGCCCUUUUAGGUGGAAACCUGACCUGCUGCUCCCAAGAGCUUUCCCCCAGGCGCCAUGGGUAAGGCCUGCCUGCCUUUCUACCUACCGGGGUUUCCAGCGCAAUCUACCCUGACAGGCAUGAAGUUUUAUAUUUAUUCCUUACAUAAACUCAUUCCAGAAAGCAGGAGUGGUGUGGGUUUGCUGCGUCUGAGUGCAAUGAUAAGAGUAUUUGCCUGUGUCCACCAUGUGGUUUUUUGUGGAGCUUUAAUGGCCCUCUCUGCCCCCUGUGUAAUUUCAAGGUCCCUUUUUGUGUUGACCAAAUGAAGGAUCAGCAAAGGUCAACCAGAUCUGCCUCCGUUCCUCUAAAUUCAGGGCCUAUUUAUGCCUAGAAUAAUUAAGCAGAGAGCCUAAAGAUUCUGCUCUUUGAAGUUAUUUCAUCCUCAACAUCGUCUUUUCUCCUGUUUGAGCCCUCAAUUUCAUCAUACAGCUAAGGCCAAGAGUGAAAUAUGUAUCGUUGGAAAUGUAGGGCAGAAUUGACGCAGUGCGCUGACCAAGUACAUUAAGAAGGUCCCCUGGGUUCAGGUACACCGCUGGUCCUGUCCUCAUCAGCGUGGGAGCACCUGUGUUUCUCAAGGUAACUGUGACCAUUACUGGAUAGAUUGUGCCAAAGGGAAAAUUGCUAAUCUUUCCGCCAGAGACAACCGAGAUCUGUUUCAGAGGGAGGGGGUAAAAAAUUGACCCUUUAGGGGCUGGGGAUUUAGCUCAGCGGCAUAAGCACCUGCCUUGGAAGCAGGCCUUCGUGAGUUCGAUCCCCGGUACCAAUAAAAAGGAAAAAAAAAAUUGACCCUUUAUCAGAAGCUACGCUAAAGCCUAAUUAUUUGGUAUCAAAGGGGGGAGGAGCUUCUGUGACCCAGCCAGGAGCUUUAACUGGAGAAAUUGACCUUUAGGGGAGACAUGAGCCCUCCAACAGAUGCAUACCCCCAUUUUUCCCACCGGCUCAUAUUUAUAGUAAGAUACUUAGACACACACAAAAAACCUGGCUGGUCAUAGUCUCCACGGGGAAAUUUUCUUUCCUAGUUGAACUUGUGCCCACCCCCCACUCCAGCCUCAGCACACAGUUCUUGCUCUGGGGGCAGCUGCAUAUCCUUUUCCCUGGGACAGAUGGAGCUACCCUUCCUCACUGGCUCUGUGGGUGGCUUUGGAGCCCUGUGAGUCAACACGAGCUGACUGGGGAGUGUGCUGGUGUGGUGUGUGUGUGUGUACGCACGCGCGCAUGCACUUAGCCUUGGCGGGCUGAUUCACACUGAGGAGGAUGUCAAUAUCCACGAUGAGAAUAAUGGUUCUAAUAAAGAUUUUUUUUUUCCACUUCCAA